CCUACGGGUGGCAGCAGUGGGGAAUAUUGCACAAUGGGGGGAACCCUGAUGCAGCAACGCCGCGUGAAGGAAGACGGUUUUCGGAUUGUAAACUUCUAUCAAUAGGGAAGAAAGAAAUGACGGUACCUAAAUAAGAAGCCCCGGCUAACUACGUGCCAGCAGCCGCGGUAAUACGUAGGGGGCAAGCGUUAUCCGGAAUUACUGGGUGUAAAGGGCGUGUAGCCGGGUUGACAAGUCAGAUGUGAAAUCCUGCGGCUUAACCGCAGAACUGCAUUUGAAACUGUUGAUCUUGAGUACUGGAGAGGCAGAUGGAAUUCCUAGUGUAGCGGUGAAAUGCGUAGAUAUUAGGAGGAACACCAGUGGCGAAGGCGGUCUGCUGGACAGCAACUGACGGUGAGGCGCGAAAGCGUGGGGAGCAAACAGGAUUAGAUACCCCUGUAGUC
rnacentral:rRNA from 1 species